GGUAUGGGGGACUUGGGAUAGCAUUUGAAAUGUAAAUGAAGAAAAGACCUAAUAAAAAUAAAUAAAUAAAUAAAUAAAUAAAUAAAUAAAUAAAUAAAUAAAAAGGUAACUCAGAAUUUCUCUGCUAACAAUGAAACACCCUCAGAAAUUGCCAUCAGCUACUAACCUCUCUGUAAGAUUUCUGCAUUUUGUUCUUGUGGAAUAAUGAAAAAUGAGACUUCCCCUCCUUCAGUCAUAACAACAUAGCAUAAAUGUUCCAGUUUAAAGUAUAGAGAUGGAUUGCCAAAUAUGAAGGUGCCUUGGUGUUUGAAAUAAUUAACGUGUACUAUUGCUGAUACCAUCCAAGGCCAGCAAUGGAAAGAUCCAUGGUCACAUUCCUACUUGGCUCAUGUGUGUUCACUGUCUUUUUGUGUCAUUACAAUACAGUCCAUCUCUGUGUCUGUCUCUGUAUCCAAAUUUCUGUUUUUAGCAAUGAUGUUUUUCAUAUUGAGCUUAUUAAAAAGUUUCACUUUUUUAUAAAUCACAUUUUACCUUGAUCAUGACUAUAAAUGUUCUUCCGUAAUAACCACACUCAGAGGAGAUAGAUAAACACCAGCACAGUAUUCAUUGUGCCUUUUACUUUUUGAAAAGCAGUUCAGUGACAGUUCCCACAAUUGUUCUAGGGUUUAUUAUAUAGAGGAUGACUCUGUGACAAUCCAAUCAGAUGAAUCUUCAUUUUCAGAUACAUUUAUGUUCCUAGUGCACCUUUUCUGUUUUUAUUCAGUCAAUAACAUUUAAUUACCACUAGCAGAUGUUUUAUACCACAGGUUCUGCCCUGUCCUGUCAACAUUAUUCCUCUAGUUUUACGACCUCAUGGGAGCAGGACUUCUGUCUUUUCACUUCUCUACUUUAUAUGUAGUUGCUAUGAUGUACACUCUGUAUUAGGCUCUUCAAACAUGUUUGCUGAAUGGUACAUAAGGUUUUCUCUACUGCAUCCCUCCCUCUGUAGAAGGUGUAAAGAAGGGGCAUCGCGAGUCUCUGUUCUCAUGGCUGCUGUGUAUCAUUUUUACUCUCAGCAUCCCAGAGCCAUUUACAUACUCAUAUUAGUUCAAGUGAACAGCCUUUCAGGAAGCAUCAUUCAUUGCACUGUAGCAUAUUUCACUUCACUGUAGUAUCCACAUCCCAAUUCUCAGUGAGAAAUGAGCUUCAACAAGCUCAAGCCUCCACAUAUAUUUUAGCUGUUUACAAAUCCCACCGGUCUCUACUAUUGGAGAAAAAAAGGAUUUAGGUAGCAACAAAGGCAAAACAAUGAAGCGUAGGGAAGCCAGAUAUCAGAUGGUGGUGAAAUAAUACAGGGUAUUUCCCCUCUCUCAGGUAUUCACUUGGAGAGAAAGAGAGGCUCUCUGCUUAGUUCUAGUGAGCCUAAAGCACCAUGUUGGGUUCACUUAGCAAUCAGCCUCAUUAAAAUCAUUAUGUUUCUCUACCCAGAAUUUGGCUUCCAGAUCACUUCCAGUACUUUAGAUGUUCACUGCCAUGGUUUUUAGUGAGAAAUGAAAAACAGGCUUUAUUUCCAGAUCUUCCCCAGCAAAUGAACUUCAUAAAGGUGCCAGUGACAAAAUAAAUCAGUUAUCUGGUGCUCUGAGCCGAAUUUAGCUGCUGUUAUUGUUGGCUGAUAUGCUUCUGGGGAAAAGACAUUUCAGAAGGGACUAAAUCCACAUGUAGCUGCUGUAAUAAAGAAACGUUUAGC
rnacentral:lncRNA from 1 species